AUUGAACGCUGGCGGCAGGCCUAACACAUGCAAGUCGAGCGAGCGGCGGACGGGUGAGUAAUGUAUGGGAACUGCCCGAUGGAGGGGGAUAACUACUGGAAACGGUAGCUAAUACCGCAUACCAUCCGAUACCCCAUAUGGGAUUAGCUAGUAGGUGGGGUAAUGGCUCACCUAGGCGACGAUCCCUAGCUGGUCUGAGAGGAUGAUCAGCCACACUGGGACUGAGACACGGCCCAGACUCCUACGGAGGCAGCAGUGGGGAAUAUUGCACAAUGGGCGCAAGCCUGAUGCAGCCAUGCCGCGUGUAUGAAGAAGGCCCUAGGGUUGUAAAGUACUUUCAGUCGGGAGGCGUUACCGACAGAAGAAGCACCGGCUAACUCCGUGCCAGCAGCCGCGGUAAUAC
rnacentral:rRNA from 1 species